UACAACUAGAUUUUCGGUGUUAUUCCUAAGUUUAUCGAUAAUUUUGCGAAGAAGAAGGGAAGUGUCAAAUCCCAGCAAGUCAUGAGUACUAAAACUCCAACAUAUUCAAUGAAAUUUUAAUAACACCAGUACAUACACACAUUUGCAACAAAGGGCAAAAUGUGCAUAAACAUUUACCUCAACUCUUCUAUCGUACAGCACCCUGAAUGAUAGAAAGAAACAACCAAAGUUCUCGUGUUUGAACAGGUUUUGUUUUGAGCUAUAUCAUGGCUGCUUGUGAAGUAUUAUUUUGCGUGUUUUAUUUAAAUCAGUGAUCUGCAGCCUAAUUAAAGUUUAAAUUAUUGAAGCAUGCAUUUUUAAAUAAGUAAAUCGUAAAAUAAAAGUUUUCUAAAGCCAAAAGUUGGAAUUGAAGAGUGCGACACAGUAAUACUUCAUUGCACUGCCAAUUCGAAGCUGACAAUAGAAGCUACGCCAACAAUGGUCAACAUCAUCGAAACCAUUGAAUACAUAUUUCAAAACUCGCGCCAUAUGAGUUAAAGGUACGCAAACUUAUUGGUGUCACUUAUGGUAGCAGCGAAGAUCUUUCGAAGCGAUGGAAUAUAUGCUGCAAGCAAAUCCAGGACAAUGGAUGCAAACGCCAGAUAUUAGGUUUAAAGUCACUUUUUACGUGCAAUUAAACCUUUUGCUCAACACAAGCACGAGAAUUGGAACGACAUGGUUUAGGUGAUUUUGUAACCAUUUAUUAUCGCGACGUGUGUCAAUUGGGUUUUGCCAAUGAGCAAAGCAGAUGCAGUAUUUUUGGACUUACCGGCACCUCAGUUGGCCAUACCAGCAGAUGAAACAUAGAAGUCAGAGGGUAAAUUUAAGUGAAUGUUUGUGAUCUUUAAAAGAAAAAAUUAACAGCCCUAUUCUGAAAAAACCUCAUAACUGAGUUGUGAGGAAAAAUUUGUGAGGUUUCUUGUGACGUAUAUUUUGUGAGUCUAUUCUGGCUCGAACCUCAUAAGAAAAAAGCUUAAAAAAGUCACCAAUUGAGGUGAAAAGCAUUUUGCUGUCAAACAGUUGUUUCAAAAGAAAUAAAUUCAAAAUAAAUCCAAUUGAUGUAAAAUUUGUAAACAAA